rnacentral:tmRNA from 1 species
GGGGCUGAUUUUGGAUUCGACAAAAUUUUCGAAUACUACUAGUGCAUGCCGAGGGUUCGGUUGCCUCGUUAAAAACCGAAAAUUAUUAAAUGCAGAAAAAAAACAAUACGCUUUAGCAGCUUAAUAAACUAAUAAAGCCCUUUAUUUAUUCUUAUUUUAUCUUUUAUAAGAAUAAAAUUUUCAAAAGGACCGAUAAAAAGAAACCCAUAAUAAGAUAAUUCUCAAAUCUUAUAUGAAAAUAAAAAAAAAUGAGAUAGGUAUGUAAAAACAUUUUUCUUUGUGUUAAAAUACCAAAAAUUUCAAAGAAUAAGCAUGUAGUACUAUAGUUGUAGAUAUUUUGGACGCGGGUUCAAAUCCCGCCAGCUCCAAUA